CUCCCGACUGAUCUCUACAAUCCGUACAGUUACUGGG
rnacentral:sRNA from 1 species